AACGAACGCUGGCGGCAUGCCUAACACAUGCCAGUCGAACGAGACCUUCGGGUCUAGUGGCGCACGGGUGCGUAACGCGCGGGAACCUGCCCUUAGGUUCGGAAUAACUCCCCGAAAGGGGUGCUAAUACCGGAUAAUGUCUUCGGACCAAAGAUUUAUCGCCUUUGGAUGGGCCCGCGUUGGAUUAGCUAGUUGGUAGGGUAAAAGCCUACCAAGGCGACGAUCCAUAGCUGGUCUGAGAGGAUGAUCAGCCGCACUGGGACUGAGACACGGCCCAGACUCCUACGGGAGGCAGCAGUGGGGAAUAUUGGACAAUGGGCGAAAGCCUGAUCCAGCAAUGCCGCGUGAGUGAUGAAGGCCUUAGGGUUGUAAAGCUCUUUUACCCGGGAUGAUAAUGACAGUACCGGGAGAAUAAGCUCCGGCUAACUCCGUG
rnacentral:rRNA from 1 species